rnacentral:rRNA from 1 species
GAUCCUGGCUCAGAUUGAACGCUGGCGGCAUGACCUAACACAUGCAAGUCGAACGGAGGUAGGGGCAACUCUACUUCAGUGGCGGACGGGUGAGGAAUGCGUCGGAAUCUACCCUAUGGUGGGGGAUAACACAGGGAAACUUGUGCUAAUACCGCAUAAUGUCGAGAGACCAAAGCAGGGGACCGCAAGGCCUUGCGCGAUAGGAUGAGCCGACGCCCGAUUAGCUAGUUGGUAGGGUAAAGGCCUACCAAGGCGACGAUCGGUAGCUGGUCUGAGAGGAUGAUCAGCCACACUGGGACUGAGACACGGCCCAGACUCCUACGGGAGGCAGCAGUGGGGAAUAUUGGACAAUGGGCGCAAGCCUGAUCCAGCAAUGCCGCGUGUGUGAAGAAGGCCUGCGGGUUGUAAAGCACUUUUGUUCGGGAAGAAAUCAUGCUGGUUAAUACCUGGUAUGGAUGACGGUACCGAAAGAAUAAGCACCGGCUAACUUCGUG